rnacentral:misc_RNA from 1 species
GAUGAAGAACGUAGCGAAAUGCGAUAAGUAGUGUGAAUUGCAGAAUUCAGUGAAUCAUCGAAUCUUUGAACGCACAUUGCGCCCCUUGGUAUUCCAUGGGGCAUGCCUGUUCGAGCGUCAUUUGUACCUUCAAGCUUUGCUUGGUGUUGGGUGUUUGUCCUGAGGGACUCGCCUUAAAGUAAUUGGCAGCCAGUGUUUGGUUUUGAAGCGCAGCACAAGUCGCGAUUCAAGGCUAUACACCAGCUUCCACAAGCCUUUUUCACUUUUGACCUCGGAUCGGGUAGGGAUACCCGCUGAACUUAAGAAUAUCAAUAGCGGAGGA